GGGGUUGUAGCUCAGCGGUAGAGCGUUCGCCUAGCACGUGCAAGGUCCUGGGUUUGAUCCUCAGCACCACA
rnacentral:tRNA from 1 species